rfam:Rattus norvegicus chromosome 16, whole genome shotgun sequence.
GGGGACUUAGCUCAGUGGUAGAGCGCUUGCCUAGCAAGCGCAAGGCCCUGGGUUCAGUCCCCA